AUGGAAUUGAUGACUAUUUCCCCAGAUGAUCGAAGCUGAUUUAAUUGAGCGCACUUUUUGUCUCUUUCGAGAGACCAAGCCAAUAUAUCUGAUCCAU